UUGGCCUCGACUUAGGUUUUAUGUUGUUUC
rnacentral:piRNA from 1 species